UUGGAGUCGUUCGGUACACGUAGAAUGUUAGAACACGUUUUGUGGAGAACGUCAAGAUUCUUUGUCGUGACGUUUGUGUUCAUGUGAUGUUCGAAUAUUCUAAGAUCGAGCCGUUAUUCAUUCUAUGUUCAUUUUUUAAUAUUUGAACGUGAUUUUGACGCUGGGACGAAUUUGGUUUGGUAUUCUCCUGAAGGAUACCUGCGUUUGAGUAUUUCUCAUAGGAGCAAAUUUUGCUCUCAUUCCCUUUUCGUCAACUUGAGACAGCACUUCUAAUAGUGCAGAAAGGAUCUUUUCCUUCCAGUCACUUCUCAUUUAUUUUUUAAGUUUCCAAAGGAUUCUAGAAAGGUACCUUGAUGAAAGUUCCAGGUGUCUUGGCCGGACAGCAAUAAAAUGGGCCUUGAGUGCCCUUAUGUAUCAUACAAUGGAGGCUUCAGACUCUUACAGAAUCUUUAUGGUGCCCGAGUGAAGGUGUUCUAUCCACAAUAUGACAACAUGAAAUCUCAGCAGACCUGAAGUGACUGCAUGAAGAAGAUUAAUGCUGAGAUAUGCACAGAAGUAUUCUCUACACUUUGAUUCUUCUGCCAUUGAGAACAGCUACAUCAAGGUGUGGAUUAGUGACAACAGUAUGCACAUCAAGUGUCCCCCAACAAAGGACAUUUGGACUGUCCACCAGCCACUGAAGAUGCCGUUCUGCAAGUAUAUUUAACAACCAUGCAAGAUGGUUCUGUGGCAGUUUGGGCAGCGUCGGCCAAUAAGCUGUCUGCGUUAGCACUGUCACCGGAUCGUCAUCAAAAUUAUCACUGGUAUGCCCUUCUGUACUGGUCCUUGUGUAGAUUGUUGCAAAUAAUCGACACUUCUGGAUUCUGAAAUGUGGAGACUCGUAAUUUCUUUUUAAAAAAACUUCAGAGGGACGGUUUUUGAUAGGAAAAACAAAACAUUGACUAUUAGAUCUACUUUGAAUAAUGUAAAAUAUAAGUUAGUCUUUAGUUAUGGUAGCUUAGAAGGCUGUAAAAUGUGCUUGUCUUUCUGUUUGAGCUAGCAACUUAUGCAACAUAACAAAGUAUAAAGUCCAUGAUGUUUUCCUACGGCAUUGUUAUAACAACGCAUCUGUCAAAUUCUUUUUAACUUUCUUUCUUAAAUGUCUUAUCUUAAAUAGAACUGGAGAUUUUAUGAAUCAAUUA